rnacentral:rRNA from 1 species
GACGAACGCUGGCGGCGUGCUUAACACAUGCAAGUCGAACGAAGUGGCGAACGGGUGAGUAACGCGUAAUCAACCUGCCCUUCAGAGGGGGACAACAGUUGGAAACGACUGCUAAUACCGCAUACUGAAGGAGGGGCUUGCGUCUGAUUAGGUAGUGGGAGGGGGAACGGCCCACCAAGGCGAUGAUCAGUAGCCGGGCUGAUAGGUGGAACGGCGAAAUUGGGACUGGGACACGGCCCAGACUCCUACGGGAGGCAGCAGUGGGGAAACUGCCGCAAUGGACGAAAGGCUGACGGGGCAACGCCGCGGGGGGGAUGACGGCCUUCGGGUUGUAAAGCUCUGUUAAUCGGGACGCGGUACCGGAAUAGAAAGCCACGGCUAACUACGUGCCAGCCGCCGCGGUAAUUC